UACGUAGGCAGCAAGCGUUGUUCGGAGUUACUGGGCGUAAAGAGUAUGUAGGCGGUUGGGUAAGUUUGGUGUGAAAUCUCCCGGCUUAACUGGGAGGGUGCGCUAAAGACUGCCUGGCUCGAGUGUGGGAGAGGAAAGCGGAAUUCCUGGUGUAGCGGUGAAAUGCGUAGAUAUCAGGAGGAACACCAGUGGCGAAGGCGACUACCUGGCCUGUUCUUGACGCUGAGGCGCGAAAGCUAGGGGAGCAAACGGG
rnacentral:rRNA from 1 species